GGGAUAGAGAUUGAAGUGACCAAUACAUUCUGAAGGUUAGAGCCGUCCUCCACUAUAGCCUUAUUAGGACCUUAGCUGCAUUUCUGGAGCUUCAUUGGUCCACUCAGGUGGUGGUUGGGGGAGUUAGGACAAUACCAGUAUUCUUGUGGUCACUCUCAGAAAAGGGGGGGCGGGGUUUGGGCUGAGGGCCCAGCCUUGCAAGACAAGAUAGAGGAGAGGGAGGAGAGUGUGUC